UUCUAUUUACAUUGAUAUAUAUAACGAUAUAUACACUAUUUAUCAGUUUAUAUAGUUAUUAAUAUAAAUGUACAUUGAUUUAUAUACUACACACACAUUCACACUCACACACUCACGCACAAUCAUACUCCCACCCACACUCUCUCACACACACAUUCACACUCACACUCACACUCACACUCACUCAUACACACACACACUCACUCAUACUCACACUAACACUCACACUCACACUCACACUAACACUCACUCACACACUCACACGCACACGCACACAGACUGACACACUCACACAUUCACACACUCACACGCACACUCACACUCACAACCACACUCACACUUGCAAGCACACUCACACACUCUCACAUACACUCACACACUCACACUCACACUCACACACACACACUCACACUCACACUCCCACUCCCAGUCACACUCACACUCACACUCACACUCACACUCACCCUCACACAGACACAGUCACAACUCACACUCACACUCACACAAACACUAGCACCGACACUGACCCUCACAGAUAUGUAUACUAUACAUGCGUGGUGUGUAUGGACUGAUGUGUGUAUAUUUACGAUAUGUAUAGGCAUAUCUUUUUGCGUAUAUGUAUACAGUUGCUUGCUAUCAGUUAUAUGCAAUUAUCGAUGUAUAUAUACACUGAAAUGCGCACACACAUGUACCCUUACGCGCGGAUAAGGGCAUAUAUAAUGUGUAUGUAUACAUUAAUACAUGCAUUCUAUAUACACUGACAUAUUUGACCAUAUUGACACUUAUCAGUAGUUUAUAUGUAUAUAUGUUGUGCAUAUAAAUGAUAUGUAUUUACUGAUAUGUUUAUGUGUGUAUGUAUAAACUUGCUAUCAGUUAUAUAUGCACUGAUAUACGACACAUGUGCACGCUCACCCAUUGAUAGUGCAUACAUUUAUUUCUGUAUACACUGAUAUAUAUGACCAUAUAUAACACUUAUUAUCAGUUUAUACACUUAUUAGUGUAUAUAUACAAUGAAAUGUAUAUACGCACACUCAUAUGCAUAUGUAUAAAGGAUUUAUAUGUACACUUAUGUAAAAGACCAUGUAUAUACUUAUUAUCAGUGAUAUAUACAGUUAUUCGCUCAAUUUGUGUACGAAUU
rnacentral:lncRNA from 1 species